AUUGAACGCUGGCGGCAUGCCUUACACAUGCAAGUCGAACGGUAACGGGUCCUUCGGGAUGCCGACGAGUGGCGAACGGGUGAGUAAUAUAUCGGAACGUGCCCAGUAGUGGGGGAUAACUGCUCGAAAGAGCAGCUAAUACCGCAUACGACCUGAGGGUGAAAGGGGGGGAUCGCAAGACCUCUCGCUAUUGGAGCGGCCGAUAUCAGAUUAGCUAGUUGGUGGGGUAAAGGCCUACCAAGGCAACGAUCUGUAGUUGGUCUGAGAGGACGACCAGCCAAACUAGGACUGAGACACGGCCCAGACUCCUACGGGAGGCAGCAGUGGGGAAUUUUGGACAAUGGGCGCAAGCCUGAUCCAGCAAUGCCGCGUGCAGGAAGAAGGCCUUCGGGUUGUAAACUGCUUUUGUCAGGGAAGAAAUCUUCUGGGCUAAUACCCCGGGAGGAUGACGGUACCUGAAGAAUAAGCACCGGCUAACUACGUGCCAGCCGCCGCAGUAA
rnacentral:rRNA from 1 species